rnacentral:rRNA from 1 species
GUACCCUACGGGAGGCAGCAGUAGGGAAUCUUCCACAAUGGACGAAAGUCUGAUGGAGCAACGCCGCGUGAGUGAAGAAGGGUUUCGGCUCGUAAAGCUCUGUUGGUAGUGACGAAAGAUAGAAGUAGUAACUGGCCUUUUUUUGACGGUAAUUACUUAGAAAGUCACGGCUAACUACGUGCCCGCAGCCCCGGUAAUACGUAGGUGGCAAACGUUGUCCGGAUUUAUUGGUCGUAAAGCUAGUGCC